rnacentral:ncRNA from 2 species
GGUCAAGCUACAAAGGGCGCAUGGUGAAUGCCUUGGCACUAGGAGCCGAAGAAGGACGUGAUAAGCUGCGAUAAGCCUUGGGUAGCCGCAAAUAGGCAGAGAUCCAGGGAUUUCCGAAUGAGGGAACUCACAUGGGUAACCCCAUGUAUCAUGCACUGAAUACAUAGGUGUAUGAGGGUAAACCCGGGGAACUGAAACAUCUAAGUACCCGGAGGAAGAGAAAGAAAAAUCGAUUUCCUAAGUAGCGGCGAGCGAACGGGAAAGAGCCCAAACCAGAAACUUGUUUCUGGGGUUGAGGAUAGAUCAUAAAAGAAGAGGUAUCUUAAUCGAAAAGGGCUGGAACGCCCUACCAUAGAAGGUAAUAGUCCUGUAGAUGAAAAGAGAA